CGCCGGUCCCCUCGCAACGCCAAGCCGUGAACCCGGUCAGGCCCGGAAGGGAGCAGCCGCAGCGGUGGACGUGUGUGCCGGGGUGUGGCUGGCUUGG
rnacentral:SRP_RNA from 3 species